rnacentral:rRNA from 1 species
GGCCAGACUCCUACGGGAGGCAGCAGUGAGGAAUAUUGGUCAAUGGUCGGGAGACUGAACCAGCCAAGCCGCGUGAGGGAUGAAGGUACAGAGUAUCGUAAACCUCUUUUGUCAGGGAACAAAGGCGGGGACGUGUCCCCGGAUGAGUGUACCUGAAGAAAAAGCAUCGGCUAACUCCGUGCCAGCGGCCGCGGUAAUACGGAGGAUGCGAGCGUUAUCCGGAUUUAUUGGGUUUAAAGGGUGCGUAGGCGGGAUGCCAAGUCAGGGGUCAAAUGCGGGGGCUCAACCUGCGUCCGCCGUUGAAACUGGCGUUCUUGAGUGGGCGAGAAGUACGCGGAAUGCGUGGUGUAGCGGUGAAAUGCAUAGAUAUCACGCAGAACCCCGAUUGCGAAGGCAGCGUACCGGCGCCCGACUGACGCUGAAGCACGAAAGCGUGGGUAUCGAACAGGAUUAGAUACCCUCGUAC